GUCCACGCCGUAAACGUUGGGAACUAGGUGUUGGCGACAUUCCACGUCGUCGGUGCCGCAGCUAACGCAUUAAGUUCCCCGCCUGGGGAGUACGGCCGCAAGGCUAAAACUCAAAGGAAUUGACGGGGGCCCGCACAAGCAGCGGAGCAUGUGGCUUAAUUCGACGCAACGCGAAGAACCUUACCAAGGCUUGACAUAUACCGGAAAGCAUCAGAGAUGGUGCCCCCCUUGUGGUCGGUAUACAGGUGGUGCAUGGCUGUCGU
rnacentral:rRNA from 1 species